CCUACGGGUGGCAGCAGUGAGGAAUAUUGGUCAAUGGACGCAAGUCUGAACCAGCCAUGCCGCGUGCAGGAAGACGGCUCUAUGAGUUGUAAACUGCUUUUGUACGAGGGUAAACGCAGAUACGUGUAUCUUUCUGUAAGUAUCUUACGAAUAAGGAUCGGCUAACUCCGUGCCAGCAGCCGCGGUAAUACGGAGGAUUCAAGCGUUAUCCGGAUUUAUUGGGUUUAAAGGGUGCGUAGGCGGUCGGAUAAGUUAGGGGUGAAAUGAGGAGGCUCAACUUCGGAAUUGCAUUUGAUACUGGUCGGCUAGAGAGUAGUUGCGGUAGGCGGAAUGCAUGGUGUAGCGGUGAAAUGCUUAGAGAUCAUACAGAACACCGAUUGCGAAGGCAGCUUACCAAGCUACUACUGACGUUGAGGCACGAAAGCGUGGGGAGCAAACAGGAUUAGAUACCCCAGUAGUC
rnacentral:rRNA from 1 species